GACGUCAUGCCGGUGGCGGUCGGGGCUCUCGGCCUUGUGUAGGUCCGCCGAAGCAAGUCGAGAGUACCUCCGGCCGCCGAUUGAUCCUCGCCUCGGUGCUCUUAACUGAGUGUCGAGGCGGGCCGGCAAGUUUACUUUGAACAAAUUAGAGUGCUAAAAGCAGGCUGAUUUACGCCUGAAUACUGUGUGCAUGGAAUAAUGAAAUAGGACUUCGGUUCUAUUUUAUUGGUUUUAAGGAACCCGAAGUAAUGAUUAAUAGGGACAGGCGGGGGCAUUCGUAUUGCGACGUUAGAGGUGAAAUUCUUGGAUCGUCGCAAGACGUACCUAAGCGAAAGCAUUUGCCAAGUAUGUCCUCGUUAAUCAAGAACGAAAGUUAGAGGUUCGAAGGCGAUCAGAUACCGCCCUAGUUCUAACCAUAAACGAUGCCAGCCAGCGAUCCGCCAUAGUUCAUACUAUGACUUGGCGGGCAGCUUUCCGGGAAACCAAAGCUUUUGGGUUCCGGGGGAAGUAUGGUUGCAAAGCUGAAACUUAAAGGAAUUGACGGAAGGGCACCACCAGGAGUGGAGCCUGCGGCUUAAUUUGACUCAACACGGGAAACCUCACCAGGCCAGGACACUGGAAGGAUUGACAGAUUAACAGCUCUUUCUUGAUUCAGUGGGUGGUGGUGCAUGGCCGUUCUUAGUUGGUGGAGUGAUUUGUCUGGUUAAUUCCGAUAACGAACGAGACUCUAGCCUGAUAAAUAGACGUUUCUGGUAUCCACAAUAGUGCUACCAGCGAACAAAUUAUUUCUUCUUAAAGGGACAGGCGGCUUCUAGCCGCACGAGAUUGAGCAAUAACAGGUCUGUGAUGCCCUUAGAUGUCCUGGGCCGCACGCGCGCUACACUGAAGGAAUCAGCGUGUCUACCCUGGCCGAAAGGUCCGGGUAACCCGUUGAACCUCCUUCGUGCUAGGGAUUGGGGCUUGCAAUUGCACUCCAUGAACGAGGAAUUCCCAGUAAGCGCAAGUCAUAAGCUUGCGCUGAUUACGUCCCUGCCCUUUGUACACACCGCCCGUCGCUACUACCGAUUGAAUGAUUUAGUGAGGUCUUCGGACUGGUGCUCGGCGAUCGCCUCGUGCGGUCAAUGA
rnacentral:rRNA from 1 species